rnacentral:rRNA from 1 species
UAAUUUGAGAGUUUGAUCCUGGCUCAGGACGAACGCUGGCGGCGUGCCUAAUACAUGCAAGUCGAACGAACUCUGGUAUUGAUUGGUGCUUGCAUCAUGAUUUACAUUUGAAUGAGUGGCGAACUGGUGAGUAACACGUGGGAAACCUGCCCAGAAGCGGGGGAUAACACCUGGAAACAGAUGCUAAUACCGCAUAACAACUUGGACCGCAUGGUCCGAGUUUGA